AUCAGUUGCCUAAAUACCCUAAAUUCCCCAGAUCCUGCCUGAUUUCAGAAGCUAAACAGGGUUAGCCCUAAUUAGUAUUUGGAUGGGACACCGUAAAGGAAUAUCAGGUGCUGUAGGGU
rnacentral:rRNA from 1 species